GAGGGUUAACAGGCCACCUCCACAAGCCCAGUACGCAGAUCGCGCUAAAAUUUAUCUUUCAUACAAAUUUCCUCCAAAGAUAAAUUUUAGCGAGGAUUUGUAGCUAGGUAGUACGCAGUUCACGCGCUAAAUUCGAAUUCUCAUCUACUACUUUUGCAAAAAGUCUCUACCAUAAACAAAAAAUACCAAGACUGGAAACUCGGCGGUCAACUGACGUUUGCCUACAAGCUGCGAGGUGUGGUGAAUGUCGUGAACCUAUCGUUGUGUUCGUGUCCGAUGUGUGGUGAAUGUCGUGAAUCUAUAAAUGUGUGCGUGUUAACGUCAUUUACCAACGUGGUGGCUUUCACAUAUAUUCACAGACAGCACUGUACACAAAAAGGGUUUUGGGGGGAAAGACGUACGAAAGUUUCCAGUCUUGGUAUUUUUUGUUUAUGGUCUCCACUCAAUUUAGCUCAGCGCAUUUUUUCACAGAUAAAUUUUGACAUUUGUGGUCAUUGUUGUUGCUGCAAGCAAAAAAAAACUUGAAAUAUAAUAAAAGAAGAGGAACAAAACAAAAUGAGAGCGUAAAAAAGGUAUUCUGCAGAUAUCAUUGGAAGUACCCUUCAAGCAAGAAAACUGAGUUCAACAAAGACAAUCCGACCUCAGAACGCGAAAAUCGGGGUUGCACUCACGCACUUGCAACUUUUUGUGUAUGAACACAAAGUCGAACGAGAAUCGUGGUGAAAAGUGAGAAAUGGAAAAACAAGUAAAGACAGACAUAGCCAAUAAGAGCAAAAGCGUCAUUUUGUUAUGUUUUGUUGAAGUGUAUAAUCGCGUCGUGUCUCGUGUCGUUGUUAGUAUAAUAUUAGUAUAAUUAUAAACAAUUAUAUCAAAUUAUAAACACUAUGGAAACAAAAAAAGAUGUAAUCUCUAAUGAUGAAGAAAAAGGCAGAAGGUGAAACAUGAGAUUGUGCAUCUAAAGAAACACCAACAACAGCAGCAGCAACA